UACGGCUAUUAUCACAUUGAAACACCAGUUUUCAUAUGGUCACCGAAAUUAAGCAACGUCAAGCCUGGUCAGUACUUAGAUGGGUAACCGCUUGGGAACACAAGGUGUUGUAAG